rnacentral:lncRNA from 1 species
UCGCAACUAACCCAUUAUGUAGUGCAAUCUAGCUGGUUCUUUGUCUUCAUGAGAAGAACGUGUUUAUCAGUAAAAGAAACAAGAAAACAAACGAAAGAUAGAAAGAAAAAAGAAUGGAGAAAUGCAGCCUUACGUUUAUUUCCACGGGGGUGUAUUCCCUGGAUAUACACAUAGAUUCCAAAGAAAUCAAUUUUAAAGUGACUACAAAUGAGUACGAGUUGACUACAACUUUGAGUUGACAAAUUGGACUUAGCUCAUUGAUAUUCGGCUUAAAAUAUGUAUAUUUAUAAAUAUAUUAUUUCGCGUGUUACUCAUGUUUUGUAGAUUUUAGAUGUGUAACGUAAUAAUUUGUACUAAUUCAUGUUUUUUUUAUGUGUAAGAGUUAUCCGGAGACAAUGUGGGACGAAAGUGCACGAUUUGAAGCAAAAAGGGAAUGAAACGAAAAACUAGGCCAGUGUUGCGCCCUGGGUAGCGCCCCGUGGCACAGUUUAUGGAUACAAAAAAUUUCUAGCAUUAAGACUAGAGCUCCACGCUGACCUGGACGCUGGGUGACGAGAAGUCUCCUAUAUCGCCUGGGACAAGGUUAUUUCGGCCCUACACACCCCCAACUCAUAUGUAAUAAGAAAUCUAAACCUAUUUUGGAGGGAAUCUAACAUAUUUUGGGAGGAAAACACGUCACUUUUGAGGAGGGGAACACACGCCACGCUUGGAGGAGACUUCUAACUAGUUUUUCUUCUCUUCUCUUCCUUUAACUUUAUAGAUCAUUAGUUCUAGAGUUGUGGGAUGCUACAUGAACGUGGUGGUUUGUCGCUUGAAUUGUUCUUAUUAAUUUAUCAUAUUGG